rnacentral:rRNA from 1 species
UUGCGGUUAAAAAGCUCGUAGUUGGAUUUCUGUUGAGGAUGACCGGUCCGCUCUUUGAGCGCGUAUCUGGCUCAGCCUUGGCAUCCUCUUGGGGAACGCAUUGUGCUUAAUUGUACGGUGUGGGAUUCAAGACUUUUACUUUGAGGAAAUUAGAGUGUUCACUGCAAGCGUUAGCAAUUGAAUACAUUAGCAUGGAAUAAUAAUAUAGGACCUUGGUACUAUUUUGUUGGUUUCUAGAACUAAGGUAAUGAUUAAUAGGGACAGUUGGGGGCAUUCGUAUUAACGUGUCAGAGGUGGAAUUCUUAGAUUACGUUACGACGAACUACUGCGAAAGCAUUUGCCAAGGAUGUUUUCAUUGAUCAAGAACGAAAGUAUGGGGAUCGAAGACGAUUAGAUACCGUCGUAGUCUAUACCAUAAACUAUGCCAACUAGAGAUUGGAGGUCGUUCUCUUUAUGACUCCUUCAGCAAUCUU